AGCGCGCGUAGGCGGUUUUUUAAGUCCUGAUGUGAAAGCCCACGGCUCAACCGUGGAGGGUCAUUGGAAACUGGAAAACUUGAGUGCAGAAGAGGAAAGUGGAAUUCCAUGUGUAGCGGUGAAAUGCGCAGAGAUAUGGAGGAACACCAGUGGCGAAGGCGACUUUCUGGUCUGUAACUGACGCUGAUGUGCGAAAGCGUGGGGAUCAAACAGGAUUAGAUACCC
rnacentral:rRNA from 1 species